AAGUUUUCGGAUGGAAUCGGUAUAACUUAGUGGCGGACGGGUGAGUAACGCGUGGGAAACCUGCCCUGUACCGGGGGAUAACGAUUGGAAACGAUCGCUAAUACCGCAUGACAUAGCGGAACCGCAUGGUUCUGUUAUCAAAGAUUUUAUCGCUGAUAGAUGGGCCUGCGUCUGAUUAGCUAGUUGGUAGUGUAACGGACUACCAAGGCGAUGAUCAGUAGCCGGUCUGAGAGGAUGAACGGCCACAUUGGGACUGAGACACGGCCCAAACUCC
rnacentral:rRNA from 1 species